GACAGAGGUGGCAAGCGUUGUCCGGAAUUACUGGGCGUAAAGGGCGUGUAGGCGGUGCGAUACGUAGCGGUUUUAAGCCUCCGGCUCACCCGGAGGAGGGCGGCUAAACGGUCGCGCUAGAGGGCAGGAGAGGUGCGUGGAAUUCCUGGUGGAGCGGUGAAAUGCGUAGAGAUCAGGAAGAACACCCGUGGCGAAGGCGGCGCACUGGCCUGGCCCUGACGCUGAGGCGCGACAGCGUGGGGAGCGAACGGG
rnacentral:rRNA from 1 species